AGAAGUCCUGCAAACAUUGUGUUUGCUGGUAGUCUGUUGGCAUCUACAGUAGCACCAAUGCUUUUGACUUUCACCUUGACUGGGCCCCAUUUGUAAUGAUCUGAAGUAUUUAUCUGCAUUAUAUCUGAAUUUAAUUGUGCACAUAAACACCACAGUAUGACCAGGUUCAGGAUCAUGACUGGGGGACUCGAGUCCGUGUGAACACACGGUGUCCAAAAGAAAACAGAGAAGCUGAUCAGUUUCAUAGAAACCGCGUGUCACUGCUCUGCUUUUCAUCGAUGUCGGCGCCGCAGAGACGCUGAAUACAUUUUCAGAGAGUAUUCAACCCCGAACAAGCAGAGGAAGCAGAGAGGGGAUCAAUACGUGUGAGAAAAGCUCCAUCAGAGGAGGACAGAGACUGACCUGGAUAUCUGAUUUCCACAGAAGACUCAAGGACUCCUUCUUCAGACGGCAAUAAUCAGAGAGAGAGAGAGAGAGAGAGAGAGAGAGAGAGAGAGAGAGAGAGAGAGAGAGAGAGAGAGAGAGAGAGAGAGAGAGAGAGAGAGAGAGAGAGAGAGAGAGAGAGAGUGUACAAAGAGAGCAGAGCAGGCUUCACAUCCAUUUCCACUCUCUGCAGGACACCACGAGCUCACCUUUUACUUCGUUUCUUUGAGUCACCUGACCCUGCAGGACUCUGCUGCAUCAGGGAGAAGAUAGGGGAGACUGGGGACGGGUGGAGGAACUUCUCCGUGUGCACGCUGAGGAGAGUUCAGGCUGUGGUCAGGUCAGGGCGUUGACUGAAGGAGUUUCUGCUGAAUGAAAUAUUAUAAUCCUGAUGAAGCAGCGGGUCCUCGCUCCGGAGGCUGCUCGCACGCUUUCUACUGUAGCUCAGGAGGGACAAACCAGCAGGAAUCAAACAUGUUUAGUCUGUUCAGAGUGAGAUCAGCUGAUGUUGUUCACAUGACUUUGUAUCCAUAAAGUUUGUGAUGGUAAAAAGAUGAUGAAUGUAGGAUCAGACUUAUCACACUUCACAGGAGCUUUUUGUCCUCAAAGGCCACCGUCCCUUCACUGAUGAGAGGGGUGAGCAAGGGGGCGUCGAGAUGAUACAUCCACGUGUAUUUUCUGCUGGUCCAGACAGAAUACGGAGUAAUCCACGCUGUGUGCAGCUCGGUUCUGUCUGCAGGAACCCAUCAGAGGAUCUGCUCACCGUGCAAACAGGUCGUCUUCAGGGUUAUUAAGACCUGAUGAAGAUCUGCGAGGUCCAAACGCUGCUUUACAAAUACUGCCGGGAGCUGUUUGUACAACGUGAGGAAUCUGGUUUCAGAUCCAGACUCCAGACUUUGUUUCUCGCCGAGCUGCAGAGAGACUGAAGUUUAAUUAAUGAGAAAGUAAAGUCGGUGUGAACAGCGCUCCUCAUCCUCACGUGUCUUUUUAACCUACAAACAGGAAAACUGAGACACUAUUGAUCAGAGACAUCAGUGACAGGAUUCAGUAUCUCCAUGAAGCUGAUUGAUUAUUAGAAAGUUCAUUUUUGGAGUGUUUACUGUGGGAGUGGAUGAAGUUUGAAGCCUGGAUGGUGAGGUGGUGAGGAUUCAGAGGUGGUUUAAACUCAGAGCUCUCAGCCUCUGACUGUGUUUCUAUCAGACCCUCGGUGUGAUUAUCCCACUCUUCAUUUUCAUCACACCUCACUCAGCUCUGAAAGCCCGAGGACUCGGAUUUAUGACGUCUCACUGCUGUCCUGAAUCAGAGGGUCACCUGCCUAAAUAUGUCCUCUCAGAGCCCAGGUAAACAGGAAGAGGAUAUUAGUCUCACAGGAGACUCCAACAGCGUUAGAGAAAGGGCAGAAAACAUCACGUUCAUCGAGCUGCAGGAUUCACUUCAUCAUCAGGAAGAAUGGAAGCUCAGAUGUCCCAUUUCCAGCAAGCAGCUUGUGAACAUAAAUACAGUUUGAUAAUGACUGGAGACAGCAGCUGCAGAGAGCUGGGACCACAGAGAGAACAGAGAGAGAGACGAGGUUCUUCCUGACCAUCGAGGCCGACUCUGAUCAUGUGAUCCUGGAGAAACACUGAAGUCAGACGAACAGAGAUCGACUCUGAACGUUCCUGUAAUCAGGUCAAAUCUGUCUAAGAGGAGAAAUCCAUUAAAGGUGGUGAAGUCAGGAUCUGAGGAAGUCCCAGUUUUUGUUCCAAUUAAACUCAGAUAUAAUGCAGAUAAAUCCUUCAGAUCAUUACAAAUG